AUUGAACGCUGGCGGCAGGCCUAACACAUGCAAGUCGAGCGGAUGAAGGGAGCUUGCUCCUGGAUUCAGCGGCGGACGGGUGAGUAAUGCCUAGGAAUCUGCCUGGUAGUGGGGGAUAACGUCCGGAAACGGGCGCUAAUACCGCAUACGUCCUGAGGGUGAAAGUGGGGGAUCUUCGGACCUCACGCUAUCAGAUGAGCCUAGGUCGGAUUAGCUAGUUGGUGGGGUAAAGGCCUACCAAGGCGACGAUCCGUAACUGGUCUGAGGGGAUGAUCAGUCACACUGGAACUGAGACACGGUCCAGACUCCUACGGGAGGCAGCAGUGGGGAAUAUUGGACAAUGGGCGAAAGCCUGAUCCAGCCAUGCCGCGUGUGUGAAGAAGGUCUUCGGAUUGUAAAGCACUUUAAGUUGGGAGGAAGGGCAGUAAGUUAAUACCUUGCUGUUUUGACGUUACCAACAGAAUAAGCACCGGCUAACUUCGUG
rnacentral:rRNA from 1 species